rnacentral:rRNA from 1 species
CCCUUAGAUGUUCUGGGCCGCACGCGCGCUACACUGACGGAGGCAGCGAGCGUGUCCUUCGCCGGCAGGUGCGGGCAAUCUUGCGAGUCUCCGUCGUGCUGGGGAUAGAUGGUUGCAAUUGUCGAUCUUGAACGAGGAAUUCCUAGUAAGUGCGAGUCAUCAGCUUGCGCUGACUUACGUCCCUGCCCCUUGUACACACCGCCCGUCGCUGCCCGGAACUGAGCCGUUUCGAGAAAGCCGGGGACUGACGGCUUGUGGGUGCGCAAGCGCUUCUUGCCGAUGGAAACCAGUUUAAUCGGUAUGGCUUGAACCGGGCAAAAGUCGUAACA